rnacentral:rRNA from 1 species
UGGGGAAUUUUGGACAAUGGGCGAAAGCCUGAUCCAGCCAUGCCGCGUGAGUGAAGAAGGCCUUCGGGUUGUAAAGCUCUUUUAGUCGGAAAGAAAGAGUUGCAAUGAAUAAUUGUGAUUUAUGACGGUACCGACAGAAAAAGCACCGGCUAACUACGUGCCAGCAGCCGCGGUAAUACGUAGGGUGCGAGCGUUAAUCGGAAUUACUGGGCGUAAAGGGUGCGCAGGCGGUCUUACAAGUCAGAUGUGAAAGCCCCGGGCUUAACCUGGGAAUUGCGUUUGAAACUACAAGGCUAGAGUGCAGCAGAGGGGAGUGGAAUUCCAUGUGUAGCAGUGAAAUGCGUAGAGAUGUGGAAGAACACCGAUGGCGAAGGCAGCUCCCUGGGUUGACACUGACGCUCAUGCACGAAAGCGUGGGGAGCAAACA